GAUAAACGCUGGCGGCGUGCAUAACACAUGCAAGUCGAACGAAGUGGCGAACGGGUGAGUAACACGUGAGUAACCUGCCUUACACAAGGGGAUAGCCUUUGGAAACGCAGAAUAAUACCCUAUAGUGUAAGAUGGACUUGCGUCUGAUUAGCUAGUUGGUGAGAUAAAAGCCCACCAAGGCGACGAUCAGUAGCCGGAGUGAGGGAGGGUACCGCCACAUUGGGAAUGAGACAAGGCCCAAACUACACGGGAGGCAGCAGUGGGGAAUUUUGCAAAAUGGGGGAAAACCUGAUGCAGCGACGCCGCGUGAUUUAGAAGGCCUUCGGGUUGGAAAAAUCUUUUUUAUGGGAUGCAGUACCAUAAGAAUAAGGUCCGGCUAAAUACGUGCCAGCCGCCGCGGUAAUAC
rnacentral:rRNA from 1 species